AUUGAACGCUGGCGGCAUGCUUUACACAUGCAAGUCGAACGGUAACAGGCCGCAAGGUGCUGACGAGUGGCGAACGGGUGAGUAAUGCAUCGGAACGUGCCCAGUCGUGGGGGAUAACGCAGCGAAAGCUGCGCUAAUACCGCAUACGAUCUAUGGAUGAAAGCGGGGGACCGUAAGGCCUCGCGCGAUUGGAGCGGCCGCUGUCAGAUUAGGUAGUUGGUGGGGUAAAGGCUCACCAAGCCAACGAUCUGUAGCUGGUCUGAGAGGACGACCAGCCACACUGGGACUGAGACACGGCCCAGACUCCUACGGGAGGCAGCAGUGGGGAAUUUUGGCCAAUGGGCGCAAGCCUGACUCAGCAAUGCCGCGUGCAGGAAGAAGGCCUUCGGGUUGUAAACUGCUUUUGUACGGAACGAAAAGGCUCUGGAUAAUACCUGGGGCUCAUGACGGUACCGUAAGAAUAAGCACCGGCUAACUACGUGCCAGCCGCCGCGGUAAUAC
rnacentral:rRNA from 1 species